CUCUAAGAUUAGUGUCUGCUUCAUGUGACUCUAAUUUUCAAAUUCAAAAGGAUCUAAUGCUUAGUUCUGUUUCAACCUUUUGGGUAAUUACAUCACAUUGUACACGAUAACAGGUUUAGAGAGUUCAAGGGAUAUCCCAAAACUGCACCUCUAUGAAAGCCAAGGACGGAUGGCUGGCCUAGGCUUUGAUCAUCUUUGCUGGAGGAAUAAAAGAAGAUUCCUGUUUUAUCUUAAGUGACAUAAAAGGUGCAAAUUCUUUUAUGAUAACGUGGCAGUAGCAACAAUUUUCUCAAUGUUUGCCUCUUCCUAUGACUCCAACUUCUCUUUGUGUCCAAAAAAACUCCCAAAUUAGGAUUCCAUGUCCUCCAGGUCUACAAAGCAACAUUUCUCUUCAAUAUGCACUUAAACUUGUUCUUAUCUUAUUGCUCAAAGGAACCGCCUGUUCUUGUUCCCACCUUCAGAAACAAAGGCACUUAUUAGUCAAUUGAACUCUUUUCUGAUAGAAUUUCACUGUAUUCCGUCCAAUCCAUUACCAUAAAUCUGUUUUCAAUUUUUGAUAAUGAUGGAUUUAUGUUGUACCUGCAGUUUUUGGCUAAUUACAUCACAUUGUACAAGAUAACAGUCUCCCGAAAAACUGCAAAUCUCUUCAAAGCUAUGGAUGGAUGGCUGGACUAAGCUUCGAUCAUCUUUCUAGAGGAAUAAAAGAAGAUUCUUGUUUUCUCUUAAGAGACAUAAAAGCUGCAAAUUUUUUUAUGAUAACGAGGCGGUAGCAACAAUUUUCUCAACUGAUUCUGAAGUCAUAGUUAUAUACAAGGUUUUACACAUUCUGGUUUAGUUUCAUUUAAUUUUGAUUAGAUUUAGAGGGGAAAGUUACAAACUUUCUAUUUGAAAUUAUAUUUGAACUUCAAUAAUAUUGGAUCAUUCUCUUAUUUUGAGGCAUUUUCCAAGAUGUUUUAUGGUAAAUUAUGGUCGUAAGCUACAAGGAAUAUGAUUGGCUUUUCUGGGGCUCCAGCAUCUGAUUUGAAAACAAUUUGUCUGCUUUUUUUUUUUUUUUUUUUUUUUGCUUUUUUCAUAAUUUUUUUUCUGCAGAAAGAUUAAUAUCAUAAUCUUUCUUUUUUUCUUGAUGAAUCUAAUGCAGUUAUAAUUGUUUUUUGAUUCCAAGUUAGUGCAUUUAGUAUGAAACUUGCCUCAAGUUAUUCAAUGAAUUCCCUGUUUAAAAAUUUGUUGUUUUUAAUUUGUCUAUACUUAAAUCCACAUUCACCAAUUUCUAUUCCCAUUUUCUCAGUUAGAUAUUGAUUGAAAGACCAUCAAACUUAGCUGGAGUAGAUUUAUUUAUUGGAGUCAAAGAAACGGUAUGUUCUCUUAGUUUUGCAGAAUUUUAUUAAUCUAUGUUUUAUUUUAGUUACCACAAUUGUUAGUGAUUCUUAGUUAUUCCAAGCAUUAAUUCUCAAGAACUUUCCUUUUUAUUUAGUAAUCAUCUACUGCUGCAUUUGCAGACUUGGGUAUAUAAACAAAUAGGAUCUGUCCUUUUUUUCAUAAU
rnacentral:lncRNA from 1 species